rnacentral:tRNA from 1 species
GCCGGCUUAGCUCAGUUGGUAGAGCAAUGGUUUUGUAAACCGGAGGUCGGGGGUUCGAGUCCCUCAGCCGGCA